rnacentral:misc_RNA from 1 species
GAUGAAGAACGCAGCGAAAUGCGAUACUUGGUGUGAAUUGCAGAAUCCCGUGAACCAUCGAUUCUUUGAACGCAAGUUGCGCCCGAGGCCUCCUGGUCGAGGGCACGUCUGCCUGGGUGUCACGCAUCGUCGCCCCCUCUCCCCUCGGCUCGCGAGGGCGGGGGCGGAUACUGGUCUCCCGCGCGCUCCCGCUCGCGGUUGGCCCAAAAUCGAGUCCUCGGCGACGGUCGCCACGACGAGCGGUGGUGGAGAGACCCUCGGACACGGUCGUGCGCGCGCCUGUCGCCCCCGGGAUCUCCUGGACCCUCGGGCAUCGAAAUUCUAGGAUGCUCUCGUUGCGACCCCAGGUCAGGCGGGACUACCCGCUGAGUUUAAGCAUAUCAAUAAGCGGAGGA